GAAACCCGGUGAUCUAGCCAUGGGCAGGUUGAAGGUUGGGUAACACUAACUGGAGGACCGAACCGACUAAUGUUGAAAAAUUAGCGGAUGACCUGUGGCUGGGGGUGAAAGGCCAAUCAAACCGGGAGAUAGCUGGUUCUCCCCGAAAGCUAUUUAGGUAGCGCCUCGUGAAUUCAUCUCCGGGGGUAGAGCACUGUUUCGGCCAGGGGGCCAUCCCGGCUUACCAAUCCGAUGCAAACUGCGAAUACCGGAGAAUGUUAUCACGGGAGACACACGGCGGGUGCUAACGUCCGUCGUGAAGAGGGAAACAACCCAGACCGCCAGCUAAGGUCCCAAAGUCAUGGUUAAGUGGGAAACGAUGUGGGAAGGCCCAGACAGCCAGGAUGUUGGCUUAGAAGCAGCCAUCAUUUAAAGAAAGCGUAAUAGCUCACUGGUCGAGUCGGCCUGCGCGGAAGAUGUAACGGGGCUAAACCAU
rnacentral:rRNA from 1 species